GUGAAAGGUGAGGUGGGAGGAGUGGAGGAAAACGGAGCUUCUGUGGGCGUGGUCGCGCCGGGGGACAGCCAAUGAAGAAGAAGAGCGCCGGGGCGGGGCAGAAGGCGGUGAGAGCUGGGCGGGGACCAGGGCACUCGUGCCAAGUGACUGGUGCUCGCUUCAGGCUCCUGCUACCUUCUGCGGGCGGAAAGUGGGUGUCCCGGGAAGGGACGGACCCCAUCUCUACUAUGCCGCAAGCGCGUUGUGUCAACAGGCUGGCUGUGGACGGCCCGAUGAGCGUGACUUGAUUUUGUACUUUCUGCCACCUCCAAUUUUCUCAGAACGCAACAUAAGAAAAAGAACUAACAGCGGUGUGUACAGGAUUGCUUCGAAGAUAUGGGUGCUGAUGUUUGGUCAUUGCUAUGGGGGAGGUCGCAGAGCUGAGAGUUUCGGAGGACGCUUUCUGUCUUGUCUAGGCAGUAACACCAGCUCACCAGAUUGCUUCUGUCCUGAACAUGGUUCCUCUUAAAUCUUGGGUCUUCUCAUUGGCUGAAAGGCGUCAGAGAAAUGAGAAUGCCCGUGACCAGCGCAUCUGUAAGCAGAGACAGAUGAAGCGUUAGAGCUGCUGUGUGUGGAGCUGUUCAACCCAGGGUCCAGACUUUUCAAGGGCUACUCUGUUAGUCCGAACUACUCACUGCUGACACUUGGCACCUAGUCUUCACUCUGGGACCCCAGAGACAUUCUUCCCUGCUGUGACUAUGCAUGGGGAGGUGUGUCCACUGCCCGGUAUUUCAGCUUCACAAGAGGUCCCACAGGCGUCUCUCACUUGAAGGACAAGGGCCAGGGAGACCAUGUCAAUGGGAGUUACCUGUAAGGUCACGUGCUGCUGCUUCUGGUUCACUCUCUGACCUCUCCUGAAGAAGCCAAGCUGCAGAGAUGAGCUACAAAGGACAUUCUCAGAGCUGUCAAAAAGGAUCAGAGGAGAAAGGCUUCAAAGAAGACUCCGAGACCAGACCAGCUGUUUGGAAAAAACAGAAGCCAGCUGAGCUGUCUGGAAGAAGUUUAGAUCAACUGAGGCACCUGGAAAGGACAAUCCAUCUCCAACCUGCUGAGCCUCAUGAGUGCUGUGCGUUCCAGGCACCCAGCUUUGUGAGCUGUGGCCCAUGCUGGGGUAGGCUUUGGUGAUACUGCUGGUUUUGAGUCUUUUCUACUCCUGUAAGUAAUUCUUCAUCCAUACUCUUGUGAGUAACCCCAAUAAAACUCAUUGGUCCACCAAACUAGACCUUGGUGGUAUCAUAUUUGGUCUAUUUUGGGUUCCCAGUUUGGUGUGAGUGAACAUGGGUGUUGCAUCUCCCCCCAAAAAAGUUUUGUCACACAAGUGGUAUCAUCCUAAAGACUGGGGUGCUGGGGUGGAAUAAAAAGGGAAAGUCAGUCAGCCUCUCCCUCCCUGCCCGGUCCCCGCUCCUCCCUCUCUAGUGCUCACAGGCUUGCUUUCUCCACCACUCUCUCUCUCCUC